UUAUGUGUCCUUCAUAAUGUUAAGUUUCCUUUCUGGUGUACAGGAGACACCGUUCUUAUGUGUCCUUCAUAAUGUUAAGUUUCCUUUCUGAUGGGCAGGUGACAUAGUUCUUAUGUGUCCUUUAUAAUGUUAAUUUUCCUUUUUGAUGGACAGGAGACACAGUUCUCACAUGUCCUCUAAUGUUAAGUUUCCUUUGUAAUAGAUGGGAGACACAAUCCUCCUGUGUCCUCUGUAAAGACACCUUCCAGUUUUGUCCUCAUCUCCUUCCUCAAUGGGUGGAUCAGUUUACAGCAUCUAAGACAUGCCAAAGACUGCAGCACCAACUGAACUGUCUAACACCAUUAGACCUCAUAGAGACACAUUUUACUUCCUGGCUGUCCGAGUCAUCUUUAAAGCACAGGAUGAGAAAACACCUGCUGGUCUUUGCCUCACUUUUUCUCUGACUCUGAGAUUCUGGAUCAGCUCAUACCGAACAAGACAUCAUGCCACCACAGAGCAGAUGUUGGAGCACUAUCUUAACUGUCAGUGGACACCUCACGGCUGGACCACAGAGACACGUGUUCUCUCUGUCAGUUUCGAGUUUUUUUCACAACAGAUAAUAAGCUCCUUCUCCUCUGUGAUUUCUCCACUUCACAAUGAAGACACUCAGGACUGCAGAAAGGGCUAAACACACAAAUGAAGAUCAUGCAGCGUAUUCAGUUGCACUGGCGAUACAAGUUGUUCUGCCCUGCAGCCCGAGUUCAAGGACCAGCAUUGUCCUCCUACCCCCCUGUCUCCAUUUGUGCAUCCAUUGGUGCCCACUGGUCCGUUCAGCAGAGACUAACAGUUGGUUCUUAAG